GUAAAAGCAAGAUGGCGGAGCGCAGUUAGAGCUUUCUGCUGAAGAACUGCACAUCCCGCGGAAGAACAUUCCAACUGGAGCUACUUCUCUGUCUAUGGCGAUUCACGCAGACCAUUAGCUGCCAGACUGCCUGCGAAGGAAACGAGAAAGAUUAAACUUGAUAGCAGAAACUGCCAGGUACGCUAACCAUUUCUGAAUAGGCGAAUAGACAUUUGGAUGCUAUUUAC
rnacentral:lncRNA from 1 species